rnacentral:ncRNA from 1 species
UAUACGUCGGCUGCAAGGAAGUGCCUCGCGCACGGGUCGGACACUCUC